rnacentral:rRNA from 1 species
GACGAACGCUGGCGGCGCGCCUAACACAUGCAAGUCGAACGAGAGAGAGGGAGCUUGCUUCCUCAAUCGAGUGGCGAACGGGUGAGUAACGCGUGAGGAACCUGCCUCAAAGAGGGGGACAACAGUUGGAAACGACUGCUAAUACCGCAUAAGCCCACGGGUCGGCAUCGACCAGAGGGAAAAGGAGCAAUCCGCUUUGAGAUGGCCUCGCGUCCGAUUAGCUAGUUGGUGAGGUAACGGCCCACCAAGGCGACGAUCGGUAGCCGGACUGAGAGGUUGAACGGCCACAUUGGGACUGAGACACGGCCCAGACUCCUACGGGAGGCAGCAGUGGGGAAUAUUGCACAAUGGGGGAAACCCUGAUGCAGCGACGCCGCGUGGAGGAAGAAGGUCUUCGGAUUGUAAACUCCUGUUGUUGUGGAAGAUAAUGACGGUACUCAACAAGGAAGUGACGGCUAACUACGUGCCAGCAGCCGCGGUAAAACGUAGGUCACAAGCGUUGUCCGGAAUUACUGGGUGUAAAGGGAGCGCAGGCGGGAAGACAAGUUGGAAGUGAAAUCUAUGGGCUCAACCCAUAAACUGCUUUCAAAACUGUUUUUCUUGAGUAGUGCAGAGGUAGGCGGAAUUCCCGGUGUAGCGGUGGAAUGCGUAGAUAUCGGGAGGAACACCAGUGGCGAAGGCGGCCUACUGGGCACCAACUGACGCUGAGGCUCGAAAGUGUGGGUAGCAAACAGGAUUAGAUACCCUGGUAGUCCACACCGUAAACGAGGAUUACUAGGGUGUUGGAGGAUUGACCCCUUCAGUGCCGCAGUUAACACAAUAAGUAAUCCACCUGGGGAGUACGACCGCAAGGUUGAAACUCAAAGGAAUUGACGGGGGCCCGCACAAGCAGUGGAGUAUGUGGUUUAAUUCGACGCAACGCGAAGAACCUUACCAAGUCUUGACAUCCCUUGACGAACAUAGAAAUAUGUUUUCUCUUCGGAGCAAGGAGACAGGUGGUGCAUGGUUGUCGUCAGCUCGUGUCGUGAGAUGUUGGGUUAAGUCCCGCAACGAGCGCAACCCUUACUGUCAGUUACUACGCAAGAGGACUCUGGCAGGACUGCCGUUGACAAAACGGAGGAAGGUGGGGAUGACGUCAAAUCAUCAUGCCCUUUAUGACUUGGGCUACACACGUACUACAAUGGCGUUAAACAAAGAGAAGCAAGACCGCGAGGUGGAGCAAAACUCAGAAACAACGUCCCAGUUCGGACUGCAGGCUGCAACUCGCCUGCACGAAGUCGGAAUUGCUAGUAAUCGUGGAUCAGCAUGCCACGGUGAAUACGUUCCCGGGCCUUGCACA